rnacentral:rRNA from 1 species
GAUCUUUAUAGAUUAAUAAUUAAAUAAAAAUUAGUUAAAUAUUUAUUUUUAAUUUUUAAUAUAUUAUAUUGGGGUAAUAAUAAAAUUUAAUAAAUUUUUAUUUUUUGUAAACAAAUAUAAUUGAUUAAUUGAUCCAAUAAUAUUGAUUAUAAAGUUAAGUUACCUUAGGGAUAACAGCAUAAUGAUUUUUGAGAGUUCUUAUCGA